rnacentral:misc_RNA from 1 species
AAGUCGUAACAAGGUUUCCGUAGGUGAACCUGCGGAAGGAUCAUUAACACGUAUCCAAACGUUAAACCCGUGAACUUUCAGUCCUGCUCUUGUAUAAGCAGCAAUCUCGGUAAAUCAAGUGGGAGGAAAGUUCUGAUUCGCUGAUGAAAGUCCGAGGCAAAAAAAACCGAACAACUGUUAACAAUGGAUAUCUUGGUUCUC